rnacentral:rRNA from 1 species
UACGGAGGAUCCGAGCGUUAUCCGGACUUAUUGGGUUUAAAGGGUGCGUAGGCGGUUUGAUAAGUUAGAGGUGAAAUGUCGGGGCUCAACCCCGAAACUGCCUCUAAUACUGUUGGACUAGAGAAUAGUUGCGGUAGGCGGAAUGUAUGGUGUAGCGGUGAAAUGCUUAGAGAUCAUACAGAACACCGAUUGCGAAGGCAGCUUACCAAACUAUAUCUGACGUUGAGGCACGAAAGCGUGGGUAGCAAACAGG